rnacentral:lncRNA from 1 species
AGAAACUCUAAAAAGAGAGGGGGGAGAAAUGGGACGCUUUUCUUGUGAAACUGAAUCUUGGGUUGAUUCUUCUGAAGCCAUAAUGGAAGAAGAGACCCAUGAUUUGAAUCAAGAACCUCAGUUUCUGACCAUAACAAGGAGUGGGUUUGAUGAAGAAGAAAGUGAAGAGCUUUUAAAGAAUGAAAAUAAGAAGAAGAAAAAGAAUCAAGUUUUGUUGGAGGGCUACGUGGAGACAGAUUCAGAGGAUGAUUUGAAGAGAACAAAGAGCUUGACAGACGAG